rnacentral:rRNA from 1 species
AACGCUGGCGGCAGGCCUAACACAUGCAAGUCGAGCGGUAACAGGUCCAGCUUGCUGGACGCUGACGAGCGGCGGACGGGUGAGUAACGCAUAGGAAUCUACCCAGUCGUGGGGGAUAACCUGAGGAAACUCAGGCUAAUACCGCAUACGUCCUACGGGAGAAAGCGGGGGCUCUUCGGACCUCGCGCGAUUGGAUGAGCCUAUGUCGGAUUAGCUAGUUGGUAAGGUAAUGGCUUACCAAGGCAACGAUCCGUAGCUGGUCUGAGAGGAUGAUCAGCCACACCGGGACUGAGACACGGCCCGGACUCCUACGGGAGGCAGCAGUGGGGAAUAUUGGACAAUGGGCGAAAGCCUGAUCCAGCCAUGCCGCGUGUGUGAAGAAGGCUUUCGGGUUGUAAAGCACUUUCAGCGAGGAAGAAAGCGUGCCGUUUAAUACACGGUACGGACGACAUCACUCGCAGAAGAAGCACCGGCUAACUCCGUGCCAGCAGCCGCGGUAAUACGGAGGGUGCAAGCGUUAAUCGGAAUUACUGGGCGUAAAGCGCGCGUAGGCGGCGUGUCACGCCGGGUGUGAAAGCCCCGGGCUCAACCUGGGAACGG